GGCGAGGUAGCUCAGUGGUAGAGCAGGGGACUCAUAAGCCCUUGGUCGUGGGUUCAAAUCCCUCCCUCGCCACUA
rnacentral:tRNA from 1 species